UUUGAUGAUACAGCAACCACGUCCUCUACAUUAAGAAAAAUAUGACAUCUUUAAUUUUGUUAGAAUAAAUAUAUAAUUCUAAUAAACAAAUUUAUAUUUUAGAUUUGUAUGCUGUCACUACAUUAGGUGUGAUGAUAAUGAAAGUUCCCCACACUAUAUUCAUUUGAAAGGUAGCAGUUAACUUCAAGAUUUCAGCUAACUGAAGGUUAUAGAAUUGCUCUUUAAGAAAAUGUUUGGAUUGAGGAUGGAAAAACAGGAGCAGCAGUACUCUCUCCCAUCCAUGACACCCAUGGCAUCUCCCUCUGACAGCUUUGCUACUAUAAAUAAUCUUUGUUUACUUAAUAAGUCUUUAUUUUGAAAUAUCUGGAAAUCGAACAGCUUGCAAUAGCACUUUUGGGAGUGUGACCAAAUUGUUAGGAUGCUUAAAAAUAAUGCGUCUGGAGAGAAAGAAGGACACAGGUUGAGAAAAAGAUAAAUUAUGUGGACAACAAUAAGUCACUCUCUCAGCCAUGUCAAGACAGCACAAAAAAAAAAGAAUGCUGUUGGACAAGUGACAAACAAAAUGUAUUUUAAUCUCUUUGAGUAUUGUUGCCAAUACUUGAAGAUUGGAAAUAUAACAGAAUCUGAUAGCUAAAUUUCAAGAUAAAAAUGUGUAAUUGAAUAAAAAUUGAGAAAGAAGUCUUUAGGUG